rnacentral:tRNA from 1 species
AAGUUUGAAUCAUUUAGAUGUAUUUAGUUUCGACCUAAAUUAAGGUAGCACACCCUUACUUU